rnacentral:misc_RNA from 1 species
GAUGAAGAACGCAGCGAAAUGCGAUAAGUAAUGUGAAUUGCAGAAUUCAGUCAAUCAUCGAAUCUUUGAACGCACAUUGCGCCCGCCAGCACUCUGGCGGGCAUGCCUGUCCGAGCGUCAUUUCAACCCUCAGGGCCCCUUCGGGGGACCUGGCGUUGGGGAUCGGCCCGCCCCCGUGCGGCGCCGUCCCCGAAAUAUAGUGGCGGUCUCGCUGCAGCCUCCCCUGCGUAGUAGCACACCUCGCACUGGAGAGCGGCGCGGCCACGCCGUGAAACCCCCAACUUCUGAAUGUUGACCUCGGAUCAGGUAGGAAUACCCGCUGAACUUAAGCAUAUCAAUAAGCGGAGGA